CUGGCGGCGUGCCUAAUACAUGCAAGUCGAGCGAACGGACGAGAAGCUUGCUUCUCUGAUGUUAGCGGCGGACGGGUGAGUAACACGUGGAUAACCUACCUAUAAGACUGGGAUAACUUCGGGAAACCGGAGCUAAUACCGGAUAAUAUUUUGAACCGCAUGGUUCAAAAGUGAAAGACGGUCUUGCUGUCACUUAUAGAUGGAUCCGCGCUGCAUUAGCUAGUUGGUAAGGUAACGGCUUACCAAGGCAACGAUGCAUAGCCGACCUGAGAGGGUGAUCGGCCACACUGGAACUGAGACACGGUCCAGACUCCUACGGGAGGCAGCAGUAGGGAAUCUUCCGCAAUGGGCGAAAGCCUGACGGAGCAACGCCGCGUGAGUGAUGAAGGUCUUCGGAUCGUAAAACUCUGUUAUUAGGGAAGAACAUAUGUGUAAGUAACUGUGCACAUCUUGACGGUACCUAAUCAGAAAGCCACGGCUAACUACGUGCCAGCAGCCGCGGUAAUACGUAGGUGGCAAGCGUUAUCCGGAAUUAUUGGGCGUAAAGCGCGCGUAGGCGGUUUUUUAAGUCUGAUGUGAAAGCCCACGGCUCAACCGUGGAGGGUCAUUGGAAACUGGAAAACUUGAGUGCAGAAGAGGAAAGUGGAAUUCCAUGUGUAGCGGUGAAAUGCGCAGAGAUAUGGAGGAACACCAGUGGCGAAGGCGACUUUCUGGUCUGUAACUGACGCUGAUGUGCGAAAGCGUGGGGAUCAAACAGGAUUAGAUACCCUGGUAGUCCACGCCGUAAACGAUGAGUGCUAAGUGUUAGGGGGUUUCCG
rnacentral:rRNA from 2 species